rnacentral:tRNA from 1 species
GGGCGCGUAGCUCAGUCGGCCAGAGCGCUUCCCUUACAAGGAAGAAGUCACAGGUUCGAGUCCUGUCGCGCCCA